rnacentral:rRNA from 1 species
UUUUUAGAGAGUUUGAUCCUGGCUCAGGACGAACGCUGGCGGCGUGCUUAACACAUGCAAGUCGAACGAUGAAACAAAGACGGAGACUUCGGUCAACUGAUUUGUGGAUUAGUGGCGGACGGGUGAGUAACGCGUGAGUAACCUGCCUUUCAGAGGGGAAUAACAUUUGGAAACGAAUGGUAAUACCGCAUAACAU